GGGACCAGCGCGGCUUCAGCAGAAGACGGCGAAGGAGAUAGGCACUGGAGCAGCAGCACAACGAACAGGGCUGGUGACGUCGCGGUGCAGUGAACGGCGGUAAUCGUGUGGAGAUGAUGACCGGCAGGUGGUGGAGCGGCGGCUUUGGGCGCGGGAGCUCGCGGACGAGAGUUGCAGAGGGGCGGCAGGGCGCUGCACGAAGGAGAA
rnacentral:lncRNA from 1 species